rnacentral:rRNA from 1 species
AAGUCGUAACAAGGUUUCCGUAGGUGAACCUGCGGAAGGAUCAUUACCGAAUGUUGACACGAGUUGUUGCUGGUCCUCGAAUGGGGGCAUGUGCACACUCUGUUUACACAUCCACUCACACCUGUGCACCCUCUGUAGUUCUGUGGCCUUGAGGGCCUCUGUCCUCUUUGUCCGUGGUUCUACGUCUUUACACACACACUGUAAUAAAGUUUCAUGGAAUGUAUGCAGCGUUUAACGCAAUACAAUACAACUUUCAGCAACGGAUCUCUUGGCUCUCGCAUCGAUGAAGAACGCAGCGAAAUGCGAUAAGUAAUGUGAAUUGCAGAAUUCAGUGAAUCAUCGAAUCUUUGAACGCACCUUGCGCCCUUUGGCCAUUCCGAAGGGCAUGCCUGUUUGAGUAUCAUGAACACCUCAACUCCUCAUGGUUUGCCAUGAUGGGCUUGGACUUUGGGGGUUUGCUGGCCGCUAUGGUCGGCUCCUCUCAAAUGAAUCAGCUUGCCAGUGUUUGGUGGCGUCACAGGUGUGAUAACUAUCUACGCUUGUGGUCUCCCCACCAGGUAACCUUCAGCAAUGGGGGUUCACUGUGGCUCAUAAACGUCUCUCCUCUGUGAGAGACAGCUUUUUG